rnacentral:lncRNA from 1 species
AUUUAGUGACCCGGAAAUAUUUUUUCCCGCACUAUUGAAUGCGAAGCACCAUGUCUCUGGAACCGUACAGAGAAGUGAUUUUGGACAUGAUUUUAAAACACCACACACACAAGGACGUUGCUGAGCAUCUGUCUCAAAUUGGUGUUGGGCGAGGUUGUUCGGCGAGGACUGUUAGAAGAUUUUGUGCCAGUCAUGGUGUGAGACGGGAGGUUUCCGACACUCAGCUGGAGAUAGCUGUAUCGGCAGCAGUACAAGAAGCAGGACCAACCUACGGUCGUAAAUUGAUGACCGGUUAUUUGACAUCAAAGGGAAUUCGAGCAGCAGAAAGUAGGGUUGGACGAGCCCUCCGGACAAUAAAUCGACCAUAUCAUGAAAUGCGAUGCAGUGUAAGUUAGUUUGUUAUUAUGACUAUUAUUAAUAAUACUUAUAUUGCCCCAGGCUAUUUAAAUAGCAUUACGUACCACAAAAUUACUGCUACAACAACAUUUGCUUUAUUAUUAUAUUACAUCAUUUCUGCAUUUUUUUUAAUUGAGAUUAUACAAGUUGUCCAAAUGAAGUCAUUAACUGCAUCCACUCACAAAUUUUUAUAUACAUUUACAGUAGGAAAUUUACUAAAUAUCCUCACUGAACUUGAUCUUUAAAUAAUAUCCUAAUGAUUUUUGGCAUAAAAGAAAAAAUAAUCAUUUUGACCCAUACAAUUCAUUUUUAGCUUUUACAUAUAGCCUAUACCCGUGCUUUGCUUCGAAAGACGGGUUUUGUGGUCCAGGGUUCACAAAAAAUAAAAACAAUGUAACUCAUUAACAGUUUUUUUUUUUAACUCUUCUCAGGGUGUACGGAAUC